rnacentral:rRNA from 1 species
CGCAUCUGUGCAUGCAGCAUAUCAAUAAGCGGAGAAAAGGCUGCGGAACUGAACGACCGCUACCUACGCUUAGGAUGUUGAAGAUGUAGCACAUCAUACACGCACGACACACUGCAUAUCAAUAAGCGGAGGAAAAGAAACUAACAAGGAUUCCCCUAGUAACGGCGAGUGAAGCGGGAAGAGCUCAAAUUUGAAAUCUUAAAGGGUUUCCCUUUACGAAUUGUAGUUUAAAGAAGUGUUUUCUGUUGAGGUUUUGGUAAAAGUUCUUUGGAAUAGGACAUCAUAGAGGGUGAGAAUCCCGUAUUUGACCUUUACUUUCAACUUUGUGAUACACUUUCAAAGAGUCGGAUCGUUUGGGAAUGCAGUCCAAAAUGGGUGGUAAAUUUCAUCUAAAGCUAAAUAUUGGCGAGAGACCGAUAGCGAACAAGUACCGUGAGGGAAAGAUGAAAAGAACUUUGAAAAGAGAGUUAAACAGUACGUGAAAUUGUCAAAAGGGAAGCGUUUGACACCAGUGUUGUUUUUCUGAAAAUCAAUUAAAGAACUGUUUAUGCUAAGUUGUUUAGACUUUAUCAGCUAACUGUUUAGUUUUGAGCUUUUCUUUAAUGCACUUUUCAGUUAACAAGUCAACAUCAAUUUCUUUUGCUGUAAAAAAGCUCGAGGAAGGUGGCUUGAGAUUCGUCUUAAGUGUUUAUAGCCUCUUGCCUAUGCAGUCGGAGAGAUUGAGGUCUGCAGCGUAGAUCCUUCGGGGCUAAAUGCAUUUGUGCUAAGUUAUAACAUUUUAUAGACAACUUGUUGACUAUGAUUUGUCUUGUAGCUUACUCGCUUAUGUUACUUUACCUACGCUUAGGAUGUUGACAGCAGUAUAGACUGU